rnacentral:rRNA from 1 species
AUUGAACGCUGGCGGCAGGCCUAACACAUGCAAGUCGAGCGAGCGGCGGACGGGUGAGUAAUGUAUGGGGAACUGCCUGAUGGCGGGGGAUAACUACUGGAAACGGUAGCUAAUACCGCAUACCAUCAGAUGACCCCAUAUGGGAUUGGCUAGUAGGUAAGGUAACGGCUGACCUAGGCGACGAUCCCUAGCUGGUCUGAGAGGAUGAUCAGCCACACGGGAACUGAGACACGGCCCAUACUCCGACGUGAGGCAGCAGUGGGGAAUAGUGCACAAUGGGCGCAAGCCUGAUGCAGCCAUGCCGCGUGUAUGAAGAAGGCCGUCGGGUUGUAAAGUACUUUCAGUCGGGAGGCGUUACCGGCAGAAGAAGCACCGGCUAACUCCGUGCCAGCAGCCGCGGUAAUUC